GACGAACGCUGGCGGCGUGCUUAACACAUGCAAGUCGAACGGCAGCACGGACUUCGGUCUGGUGGCGAGUGGCGAACGGGUGAGUAACAUAUCGGAACGUAUCCAAUAAUGGGGGAUAACUAAUCGAAAGGUUGGCUAAUACCGCAUACGCCCUACGGGGAAAGCUAGGGACCUUCGGGCCUGGCGUUAAUGGAGCGGCCGAUAUCUGAUUAGCUAGUUGGUGAGGUAAGGGCUCACCAAGGCGACGAUCAGUAGCUGGUCUGAGAGGACGAUCAGCCACACUGGGACUGAGACACGGCCCAGACUCCUACGGGAGGCAGCAGUGGGGAAUUUUGGACAAUGGGGGAAACCCUGAUCCAGCAAUGCCGCGUGAGUGAAGAAGGCCUUCGGGUUGUAAAGACUCUUUUGUCAGGGUAGAAACGAGCAGCUCUAACACAGUCUGCGAAUGACGGUACCUGAAGAAUAA
rnacentral:rRNA from 1 species